ensembl:lncRNA
CCAGGCAUGUGUUAGCACAUUCAGGUACCUUUUUGAACACUGUAAUUAUGGAAGUGUCAGUGAAGAUGCCCUGCCACUCACCCAGGAUAUCAAAACAGACAACAAAUGCCCAACUGCCUGGGCUAUGUGUUACAAGCCAAGUUCUGCGGAUGGAAUCUAUGUCCUCGUCCUCAUAUGUGCUAGGCAAGUGCUAUACUAUAUCAUUGAGCUGCACCUUCAGUCCAGCCCUUUAAAAAAAAAAGUUAUCAUUAUUGUAUAGAUAUGGGCACAAGCAGGUAACAACCCACAUGUUAAGGUCAGAGGACAGCUUUCAGAGUCAACUUUCCUUCCACCAUGUGAUCCAGGGAGCUAAUUCAGGUCCUCAGGUUGCCUGGCAAAAGCUUUUAUCCAUUGAAUGGGAGUGGGGUGCACCAGCACACUCCGUUUAUUGUCCUUCCUUCUUUCCCAGCAGGGUAUCUUGACGCUUAGGUUGUCUUCAGACUUGCUGGGUAGUCGAGGAUGACCUUGAAUUCCUGAUCCUCUGCCUCCAUCUCUAGAGUGCUGAGAUUACAGGCUUGUCAACACUAUGCUGAGUUUAUUAUGGUGCUGGGGACUGAACCCAGGGCUUCAUGAACACUCUACCAAGUGUGCUGUAUCCCGUGUGUGUGUGUGUGUGUGUGUGUGUGUGUGUGUGUGUGUGUGUGUGUGUAAAGAUUUGUUUUUGUUCAUGUGUGUUUGUGUCUGUGUGAGUGUAGGCUAUGUGUGUGGGGUACACAUGGAGGUCAGAAGAGGGUGUUGGAUCCACUCGAGCUAGAUUUACAGGCAAUAGUGAACUGUGUAACAUUGGGUGGAGAGUUUGAACAUGGGUCCUCUGGAAGAGCAGCAAGCACUGUUAAUUGAUGAGCUGUCUCUCCAGUCUCUGUUUCUUGUUUCUGAGACAGUGUCCCAGGUAGCCCAAGCUGGCUUCAAACUUGCUGUGAGUCAUAUAGCCAAGCAUAAUCUUGAACUUGUGAUCUUCACGCCACCUCUAUCUCUCAAGUGCUGGUAUUACAGGGUUAUAGGUGUCACUGUGCUGCCUAGGUUUAUGACAACUUGACACAAGCCAGAAUCAUUUGGGAACAGGGAACUUUGGCUGUGGUCAAGCCUGUGGUGAAUUUUCUUGGCUGAUGCUUGAUGUGGAAGGGCACAGCUCACUGUAGGCAGUGCCAUUACUGAGCCGGUGGUCCUGGAUGCAAUAAGAAAGUAGGCUGAGGGACUGGAGGGAUGGCUCAGUGGUUAAGAGCACUGGUUGUUCUUCCAGAGGACCCACGUUCUGUUCCCAGAACCCACAUUGUGGCUAGCAACCAUCUGUAACUCCAGUUCCAUGGGAUCUGAUACCCUUUCCUGGCCUUCACUGGCAUUGUACGCACAUGGUAUAUACCUAUAUGAAGACAAAAUACAUACAAAGGAAAGUAAAUAAAUCUUGAAAAGGAAAGUGUAUUUCAUCUUUUAACUCCUUCAGGGUAUCAUUGAUUUCUGCCCUUACCCACAAGAUGUGAUUUUGUGUGUGCUGCCCAGGGCCUUCGAGGUAAUAGGGGAGUGUCCUGCACUGAGCUACACACUCAGCCUUGUUUUUAAUUAUUAUCUUGGCUGACUUUGGACCCUCUCUCUCUCUCUCUCUCUCUCUCUCUCUUGGUUUUUUGAGACAGGGUUUCUCUGUGUAACAGUCCUGGUUGUUCUGGAACUUGUUCUGUAGACCAGGCUGGCCUCAGACUCACAGAGAGCUGACUGCCUCUGCCUCCUGAGUACUGGGAUUAAAGGUGUGCAAUUUGAUCAGGUCAUGUGACCAGUGUGGUUAUUCUGUUAACUACCAAGCAUAACAAUUUAAUUUUGUUUUGUUUUCAAGACAGGGUUUCUCUAUGUAGCCCUAGUUGUCCUAGAACUUGCACUGUAGACCAGGCUGGCCUCAGACUCACAGAGAUUCACCUGCCUCUGCCCCUCAAGUACUAGGAUCAAAGGUGUACACCCCCAUGCCUGGCAGCAAUUUAAUUUUUUAAUGACUUAUUUAUUUUUUAUUAAUAUGAAUUUUUCUUUUCUUUUCUUUGCCAGCAUGUAUGUCUAUGUGAGGUUGUUGAAUUCCCUAGAACCAGAGUUGCAAACACUUGUGAGUUGCCAUGUGGGUGCUGGGAAUUGCUCCCCCCCCAAAAAAAAAUAAAAAGGCGAGCAAGUAAGCAAGCAAACAGACUUGAGCAAACCAUGAAGAGCAAGGCAGUAAGCAGCAUUUCUCCAUUACCUCAGAGUCAGUUCCAGCUUCCAGGUUCCUGUCUUGGCUUCCCUCAGUGAUGGACUUAUACACUGUAAAAUGAAAUAAAACUUUUCAGUUCCAAGUUGCUUUUGGUUAUGGUGUUUUACCACAGCAAUACAAACCCUAAGACAGUGACCAUGCAGACUUCUAUUUUCCAUAACCUGGAGGCUGAGCUGUGUAUUAAGACUUUGGACACCUCCAGGUCCUGCCAGUGGAUCCCCU